UUUAUUCUUUAUCCCUAUCCUCUUUGUUUCUUUUCAGCCAUGUCGGAGGCUCUCUCUGCUUCUGUUUUUCUCAGAUCUUCUUCAACACGUCCAAAAUUGCCCUAUUAUUAUUGUACACCCGCAUAGAUCGGCCUCCGAUCUACAAUUUGGUUAUGAUUUUACCACGUUAACAGGAUUUUAUUUCCGGCGAUCUUUAUCUUCAUCAGAAUCGAAGUUUCCGGCUCUCUUUUCCAUGUGGAUGAGCUUGUGAAGAUCCUCCAUGGAUUCCGUGUAUGGCGCUAUGAUUAACCAGUGCGUCCUUAUCCGCUUCUCGAUCGUAUUCAUGUGUUCUUUAUCGAUGAUAUGGGUUGAAGCUAUAAUACAAUCUGUAGUAGUGAUUGUGUAAUUGAUCGUUCAUGUCGAUCUGGUAGUAUCGAUGAAUGAUUUUCGUGAAUUCAGGCACGCAUAUAUACGAUCUGUAGAUGUAAAGGAGAGUUGAAUUUCUUGUUGUGAGUCGGCCUUUGCCAUGUCAGGUGCGCUUGCUUGGCAGGCCAACAAGUCUAAUAAAAUCCAUACUUUUUUGUUCUGGUGAAGGGAGGUGGUACGGGGUUUGCCCGGCUCUCCCUUCAUGUUCUUGUCUCGUUUCUUCCCCUUUUUCUCUUUCUUCUAUGGCUUUAAUGAUACACACACAUCAAUAUUGUCGCUCUUGAAACGCUUGGAACAAAUUUAGUCCCAAGCAUUUCAAGAAUCCGUCGAAUCAAUGAAUCCGUCGAAUCUGUUGGAAGAACGCUCGUAAUUGAUCAAUCAUAGCAGCAGUCUCAGAAUUACAAAAUCGGCAUCACUUUAUGUGGCUCACAAGGUACAAAUAUCAUCUUUUAUCAUCAAUUUCCGCCAAAUAUUAACAAAUUAGCGUGUGAUACGUUUCUUAUACGUCGUGAAUUGCAUAAUUAACCGGCUAAAUAUGAACAUUAUUACGAAUUAAGUGUGGUUGCUCACAUAAUUAAGUUCUUUGAAAGGCUGUAUAACACAUUUUUGAAGCUUUGUUGGAUUAGGAUUGUUUUGUUGCUACUGUAAUCGUGAUAUUAGUUUAUGUUUAUAAACGAUGCCAUUGUCAUUGUGGGAAUUUAAGAUUCUGAUUCAAAAAUAGGCAGUUAUAGGUACAUAAUUUUUCGUUAGUUCAAUUUUUAUCUUUUAUUAAAUAAUUUAGAUGUCGAUUCAGAUUAAUAUAUGCUGCAAAUUAGUUUUCGUGAAUUGGUUCCCUUUAGUGCAAACUUUUAUCGUGUUUAAAAGCAUAUGGGUUGUUUACUUGUUUGUUCGUUUUAUUAACAGAGACAUGUAUUCUAGUUGGUUAUUUAUCCUAAAAGACACCAUAUAUAAGUAUUUAUGUGUCAUUUGUAUCUUGGUAACUUUUUGCGAGUUCAUACGGUAUAAAUAUUCUGCCAUUGUUGCUAUUAGAUUUUGGUGCUUCUGCCAAAUCAUGCAACAAUAAUAUGAGUAUUUAUAUAUUUAAUAUCGGUCAUUUCGGUAUAUAAUCUAUCAACAGCUUAGAUAUAUUUGAUGUUAUAUAUAAUUAUGAUGAACAUUACUCUAUAAGAAAUUAUUUUCUUUAUAACAAAUUAAAAUUUUAUUAAAUUUUAUAGUAGUAUAUUAAAAUAUUAUUAAAUUUCAUUAAAUGAACAUUAGGUACUAUUUAAUUGUACCAAUGGCUUAGAUUGUAUUUGAUGUUAUAUAUAAUUAUGAUGAACUUCAUUAAGAGCGUGUUAUUUGAUGUUAUAUAUAUAAAAGAAACAUUGAGCUUAAGCUAAAUCAUUUGAGAAUUAAAAUAAUAUUUAGGCUCUUUCUAAUCAAUUGGCCCAAUUAAUAUUAAUUUGGGCUAAAAUAAUUCUUGGUAAAUUAUUUUGAUAGGCAAGUUGUUUUAAUCAGUCUUAUAAUUUAACUAAACUUAGUUGAUAGCACUUCUAACUUUUAUUUUUACUCAUUUUUUUGCAAUUACUUUUUUUAUAGCUUUUAGUCCUUUACAACUUUUUAGUGUUGAUUAACAUUUUCAUAUUUAUAUUUUGUAUUCUUAUCUUUUUGAUUUGUAUAUUUGUCACCCUAUAACUGGAAUUUAAUAUUUAGCAAUUGGUUGAGUUCUUGUGAUUUAACUUUUGGCUACCAUUUUUAUAAACCUACCAUAAGUUUUUUUUUACAAAUUUCAUUUUAAUAUCACUUGUUUAGAAAUCUUUGUUAAUUUUUCUUUACAUAUUUCAUCGUUUGAGUCCCUCAUCAGUCAUCAUUGUGAUUGCGAUUAGCCUAGCCUGCAAGCGGAUCUUAAUACGUAUCAUUUGUAAAUCAGAAUCUCAAACGAAGCAAUUCAAACUCGGAGAAAUGUUGAAUGAAAAUCCAAAGAUUACACUCAUGUCUUGGAACAAUUAAUUCAGGCCUCGAUUCAGAGAAAGGAUUUGGAAGUAAAGAUUUACUCGAUUGUUCCUACUGAAGCAAAAGAUAUUUUAGAAUUGAAAAUUCUUUUUUAAAACAAGACAAUCAAAAUUUAACUGCUAAAAAUAAUGAUUUUGAACAAAUGCUGCGUGAUUAUUUAAAACAAGUCACUUUUCUUGAAUCUGAACAUCACAGAAUAAAAGAAAAGUUUGAAACCAUCAACUAUGCCAGAAAACCCAAUGAAUCUAUUUUCAAAAAGGCAUGUGAUAUAGGAGCUGGUAGAAUAGAUGUAACCGUGAACAAGGAUUUAUUGUUACUUGAUUUUUCAUGUACAUAAUUAAAUUUGUCAAAAAAAAUUGUUUAUAGUUUUAUGCGAAUGCAAAUAUUUUAAUGUUUGGUAAAA